GACGAACGCUGGCGGCGUGCUUAACACAUGCAAGUCGAACGGAAAGGCCCUGCUUGCAGGGUACUCGAGUGGCGAACGGGUGAGUAACACGUGGGUGAUCUGCCCUGCACUUCGGGAUAAGCCUGGGAAACUGGGUCUAAUACCGGAUAUGACCUUCCUGGUAGUGUGGGGGGGGGAAGGAUUUAUCGGUGUGGGAUGAGCCCGCGGCCUAUCAGCUUGUUGGUGGGGUAAUGGCCUACCAAGGCGUCGACGGGUAGCCGGCCUGAGAGGGUGGACGGCCACAUUGGGACUGAGAUACGGCCCAGACUCCUACGGGAGGCAGCAGUGGGGAAUAUUGCACAAUGGGCGGAAGCCUGAUGCAGCGACGCCGCGUGGGGGAUGACGGCCUUCGGGUUGUAAACCUCUUUCGACAGGGACGAAGCUUCGGUGACGGUACCUGUAUAAGAAGCACCGGCUAACUACGUG
rnacentral:rRNA from 1 species